GGUCCCAUAACUCAGUUGGUCAGAGUGUCGUACUAAUAAUGCGAAAGUCGAGAGUUCGAACCUCUCUGGGACCA
rnacentral:tRNA from 1 species